AUCAACGUUUUCUCUCACAUGUUUUUUUAUUACUUUCUGAACGAAAAUUCCCUCAAUUCCUAGAAGAGAAUUUUAUUUUCAAAACCUGAAAACUGUAUUUCUUAGUUUUUUUAUUAAUUUUUUUUCUAUUUUCUUGUCUUUUCAAAUAUUGUUGUGUUUUUUAGAAAUAACUCUUAAUUUUUCAUGCAUUAAAAACAAAAAUGAUACAGAAAACUCUUUUAUUAAGAAAUAGUUGGUGAGAAAGUUCACACAGGAUGAUUCUCAACGAACAUCGGGAUCCGUUUUGUAUCAUAUACGUUCCCUCAAUAAUUUUCAAUUGUCAAAUUUGCUUCCCGUUUUCCAUGUAACAAACACUUGCAUUUUUCAAAGGCAGGUUGGCUCCUUUCACUUGCUGAGGAUUUUUACCAGAGACAUAUGAUAGUGAGGUCAAUUGAUAGGACUGUUUUGCCAGCAUGUAGAAAGAACUGCCCAGGACCCAUCAAGCAGGGACACCUCCACUUGCAGGUUAUCCCUGUAAAUGAACUUGACUACCUGGUUAACCCGUUACCGUCCGAUACUUAACAUUCUGGUCUGGUAGGUCCAGAUCCAAAGUGCUUGAUGCAUGCCAUGAUCCUGAUGUGGGAUGGUGAUGUUUUUUCUUCUCUUGCUCGGUGCUGUUCACCUUUUUUACUUUGUU
rnacentral:lncRNA from 1 species